rnacentral:miRNA from 1 species
CAUCCUGCAGAAGGUGCAGGUGUGGACUUCGCCCUCGGUGAGCAGCUUGCGUGGCCCAGGUGUGAGC